CAAUCAUAUGCUCAUCUCAAAGAUUAAGCCAUGCAUGUCUAAGUAUAAGUGAUUAUACAACGAAACUGCGGAUGGCUCAUUAUAUCAGUAAUAAUCUACUUAGUGAAUCAUUUAUUCGGAUAACUGUAGGAAUUCUAGAGCUAAUACGUGCAAAAAGCUUGGAUGGGGGGCAACCUCCAGAAAAGUGUAUUUAUAAGUACAGAGAUCAAUGGGUUUACCCUUAAUGGUGAUUUAUUAUAAGUUUACAGACCGAGAGCUUAAGUCUUCGGCAACGUAAGCGAGUUUCUGCCCUAUCAACUUUCGAUUGUAGUGUAGUGGACUACAAUGGUUAUAACGGGUACGGGGAAUUAGGGUUCGAUUCCGGAGAGGCGGCCUGAGAAACGGCCGCCACUUCCAAGGAAGGCAGCAGGCGCGUAAAUUAUCCAAUCCCAAUUCGGGGAGAUAGUGACAAGAAAUACUGAUGUAGGGACUUAAGGUUCCUACUAUCGGAAUGAGAACAAUGUAAAAACCUUAUCAAGGAACUAUU
rnacentral:rRNA from 1 species